rnacentral:rRNA from 1 species
AGAUAAUAGAUACCCAGGUAGUCCACGCCCUAAACGAUGUCAACUAGUUGUUGGGGAUUCAUUUCCUUAGUAAACGUAGCUAAACGCGUGAAGUUGACCGCCUGGGGAGUACGGUCGCAAGAUUAAAACUCAAAGGAAUUGACGGGGACCCGCACAAGCGGUGGAUGAUGUGGAUUAAUUCGAUGCAACGCGAAAAACCUUACCUACCCUUGACAUGGUCGGAAUCCUGCUGAGAGGCGGGAGUGCUCGAAAGAGAACCGGCGCACAGGUGCUGCAUGGCUGUCGUCAGCUCGUGUCGUGAGAUGUUGGGUUAAGUCCCGCAACGAGCGCAACCCUUGUCCUUAGUUGCUACGCAAGAGCACUCUAAGGAGACUGCCGGUGACAAACCGGAGGAAGGUGGGGAUGACGUCAAGUCCUCAUGGCCCUUAUGGGUAGGGCUUCACACGUCAUACAAUGGUCGGAACAGAGGGUUGCCAAGCCGCGAGGUGGAGCCAAUCCCAGAAAACCGAUCGUAGUCCGGAUCGCAGUCUGCAACUCG